UACAUGUGGGGCAAGCGUUGUUCGGAAUUACUGGGCAUAAAGGGUGCGUAGGCGGCUUGUUAAGUCAGGGGUGAAAGUUUUCGGCCCAACCGGAAAAUGGCCUUUGAUACUGGCGAGCUUGAGUGCGUGAGGGGUAACCGGAACGAGCAGUGUAGCGGUGAAAUGCGUAGAUAUUGCUCGGAAGGCCAACGGCGAAGGCAGGUUACUGGUACGCAACUGACGCUGAGGCACGAAAGCGUGGGGAGCUAACAGG
rnacentral:rRNA from 1 species